rnacentral:lncRNA from 1 species
GCUGAACUGCAAGCCUCUGCCCCACCGUCCCCAGCUCAGAGCAAAGCAGAAACUCGAAGCAGAUGGUGCUCUCCAAAAGCAGUGCCCCAAAAGAUGCUGGGGCAGGCACCGUGGGCAAGGCUGUCUCCUUCUGGCCCUGCCGUCCUGCUGCUGGCACUCUGUGAGUUGGGGCAUUGCUGGGUGUGGUGGCUGAGGGCUGGAGGGCUGCUCCUGGGGGCAGGACAGGACAGUGGUUGGCACAAUGGAGGAUGGGGACAGCGUGUGUGGGUCAGGUGUGCAGCACCGAGGGGCAGAGUUUGUUUGUGGAAGGCAGGAUGGGGAUGGCUUCCUCGAAGUAUAAAUCACAUCUGAGCAAGGGGCACACUUCUCUAGCACCAUAGAUUCUUCUGGAGUGUUGCUCUGAGUCUCUAGGACUGCUGAGUUUUUUAAGGAGAUAUGGGAUUUAGCUGGAACAAAUAAAUCCACACAAAAUGGGAUUGGGAUUGGCAUUGUUCAAGAGGUUAAUGAAGAUAUACAGCAUGAGAACACGCAGGUGUGAUGAUGCCUACUUAGCAGUGAGGAUUUGGUCAAGGGGGAUAUGGGAGUAGGGAAAUCUGGAUGAACCUGGACUCUGCCCUCUCAGCAAAUUCCUCUCUGCCACCAGGUACAGCUGCCAGCAUGACCUCCCAGGACAUCUGCAGCUCCCCAGGUACUCGUGAGUCCUUCCCUCCCAGACCCAGGGCACUUGGAAGCCCAACCACUGUGAGCUCUGCCCUAUGGCAGCCCUUCACUGCUGUGUCUCCUGCAGGGGAUCUCCCAGCUCCUGCUCUCCAAAUGAACUCAAGUUCUGCUCAGCCAGGUACCAGAGUUGUGCUCCAGUGUAUUCUCCCUGUGGUGUCACCCGUAAUACGAAUCAUCAUCUGCAAGGAUGGGAAGGAGGUGUACAGCCAGAAAGCCCAUCAAGGGCAGCUGAGCUACUCCGUGGUCCUGAACAUCACGUCAAGAAGCGCAGGAAUAUAUACCUGUGGGUACCAGCAGAGGAAUGAGAUGAAACAGAGGAGGAGCUCUGCCCUCAGUGCUUGCCAAAUCCUGGAUGUCCCUGGUGCAGCUGCUGGCGUGACCACGCAGGACUUCUGCAGCUCCCCAGGCAAUGUGGUGAGUUCCCCAGCAAGUCCAUCACCCCCAGGCAGGAGCUGUGCCAGCUGCAGAGACACGUCCCUCUCCCUGCUUCUCCCCAUCACACCCCGCUGCCCUCACACACUCUGUCCCACAGCUCCACAUGCCCGGAUCCCGCACACACUCCCCACAGGCACAGUGCUGGCAGUAGCAGCCAUCGGCCUCGUCCUCCUGUCUGCAGGCAGCUGGUUUGCCAUCAGGAAAGGUGAGGGAGUGGGGGAAGGUGGGGGGAAGGCUGAGGACAUGGGGGUCCUGCUGCAGUGCUGGUGCAGUGGGAAAGGUGGUGGGGGGAACCUGGGGGUGCACAGCUGGGCCAGACGGUGCCUGGGGGUGAUGGCUGUGGGCAGCCCAGCUGGGGAGGCUGCUGAGGGAGCUGGGGAGCUUCAGCCUUCGUCCCCCAGCCCCAAGAUUGGAGCCAGGGCUGGGCAGCACAUUGGCCUGUGCACCU